GUGAAAGUGUAGGAGCAACCUUGAAUGUGGGCUCCCGGCCCUGAGUCCCUGGGCACUGCCUGUUCCCUGGCCUGCCACUCCUACAUACUACACCCAAGAGCACCCGACACUGCCCAGUUCUGGAUGGAUGCACUCUGGUCCUGCCCUGGUGAACAAAUGGCUGUGUGACCUUGGGUAAGACACUUCCUCACCUGUCAUCUGUCCCUCCUUUGCAGCCCUUAACAGGCUGUGGCUUUGUGAGUCAGUGUCCAAGUGAUGCUUGCCACCUCCCCUCAUGUUACCUGGGCUGCUGUGGUGCCUGCCCUCCCCGCCGCCACCACGCACACAUACUUUGUUCCCUCCCAGUCUGGAGCUGCUGAGAGGAACACUGGGUACAGAGUGUGAGAAGGGAUGCUGGGGCAUCCUGCUGUCCGUCAACCCUGCUCUCAUCUGCCCACCUCCCCUGGGUUACCCACCAAGGAUCACGAAGCCGAAACCUGGAGACUAGCAAGACCCUGGAACACACUCUCAGCAGUGG
ensembl:lncRNA